rfam:Pseudallescheria apiosperma strain IHEM 14462 SEQ_SAPIO_0126, whole genome shotgun sequence.
GGGGGUGUAGUUUAAUUUGGUAAAACUGCAAAUUUGCACUUUGUUGAUUCAGGUUCAACUCCUGGCACUUCCA